rnacentral:tRNA from 1 species
GACAAGGUGGCCGAGUGGUUAAGGUGAUGGACUACUAAUCCACUGUGCUCUGCACACGUGGGUUCGAAUCCUAUCCUCUUUG